AUAAAAACACGCGCUUUUCUCAGUCAAUAUUCUUUCUGACGCUUCAAAAAGGAACGCCACCGCACCUCAAAGCUGCUUCAAAAGUAUCUCUCGUUAAUAUGGCGUCUUCAUCAUCAUCAUCUGCAGCUCUGAAACGAAUAUCGAAUCUGAGCAACCAUCUUCGCCCAAGAAACUCAAACGCUUUAGUCAAAGUAUCUGCAGAAGUCUCUGAUGCUUUGUCAAGUGGCCACCCUGUUGUUGCUCUUGAGUCCACCAUCAUUUCCCAUGGAAUGCCGUAUCCUCAGAAUUUGGAAACAGCGAGGGAGGUGGAGGCGAUUGUGAGGGAGAACGGAGCUGUGCCUGCUACCAUCGCUAUUCUUGAUGGCAUACCAUGCGUAGGUUUGACUUUGGAACAACUGGAAAAGCUAGCCAAAUUGGGAAAAAGUGCUCAAAAGUCUGCUCGCAGGGACAUUGCACAUGUUGUGGCCACCAAGAGGAAUGGUGCAACUACUGUUUCUGCAACCAUGUUUUUUGCUGCCAUGGUUGGUAUCCCUGUCUUUGUUACUGGGGGAAUUGGGGGAGUGCAUAGAAAUGGCGAGCAUACAAUGGAUAUAUCCUCUGAUCUCACAGAGCUUGGAAGGACACCAGUAGCAGUCGUCUCUGCUGGUGUAAAAUCAAUAUUAGAUAUUCCAAGGACACUGGAAUAUUUGGAAACUCAGGGAGUUUGUGUUGCUGCUUAUAAGACCUAUGAGUUUCCAGCUUUUUUUACUGAAACAAGUGGCUGCAAGGUUCCUUGUCGUGUAGAUAGCCCAGAAGAAUGUGCACGGUUAAUUGAUGCAAAUAGGAAACUUAAUCUUGGAAAUGGAGUAUUGAUUGCAGCUCCCAUCCCGAAAGAACACUCAGCUUCUGGAAGCUUAAUAGAGUCUGCAAUACAACGUGCCCUUACAGAAGCUAGGGAAAAGAACAUAACAGGGAAUGCUGAGACUCCUUUCUUGCUUGCAAGAGUUAGUGAAUUAACUGGAGGAGCAUCACUUGCUUCAAGUAUCCUUAAGAGAUGACUAAUACUCAUAUUUUGUUUAAUAUGAAGGGACUUUCUGUCGUGUGGCAUCGCACACACCGUUAUGCGAGCUGAUAUGAAGUCUAUACAGAGAGGCCAAUGCUCUCUGAUCCUGCAACCAUUCACCUAGCAAGUUGGAUUGUCUCAGUUACAUUGGUUUGCGGCUUUCAUUUUUGGUACAUGGUCAAAUGGAUUAAUACUGACAAUGAAUAGUACUCUUAUGUACUUUAUUUAACCUUAUAAUUUGUUUAAUUGGAGCCACUGGUAUUAGGGUUGUACUUUGAAGAGCAGGUUUCUAAUAGAAGGGGCAAAGACCUUUACUUUAAAGUGUGUUUGAUUGGAGGGAAAGGGGAAGGAAAAUGUGUGGAAGGAAAAAUUACUUUCUACCAUUUUCGUCAUUUGGUAGGAAGGAAAUAGGAAGAUAGAAUGAAAAUGAGUGGCACACUCUUACUUUUCUCUAAAUUCAAUAUUUUCAAAUAUGAGAGAAAAAAAUUUUAUUUUUAUUUUUACUCUUUCCUUGUGUUUUUUAUCUUUCGUAGCAAACACAAUAAAAGAAAAUUAACUUUCCUUUCUUUUUUUCCUUACCUAUUUUCCUUCCCUUCAUUUUGCUUUCCUUCAUACCAAACAGUAUUAGUGAUUAGCCAGAUGAUAUUGUAGCCAUUGUAAAUUCAUAGAAAUCUUCCUCCGGAUUUUACAUCACGCCAUAACGACGAUGCACAAACAAUAAUCAAAAGAGUUCAACUCUUAAUUCUAAUAAUCAAAAUUUAAUCUCGAGCAGCUUUGAUUCUAAUAAUCAAAAUUUAAUCUCCAACAGCUUUAAGUGAAAAAAGAUUGCAUUGUUUUUGAAAUUUAGAAAAGAUCUCCCCCUUCAACUCGAAGAAACCAGUAAGGGGCAGGAGAUUUUGUGGGCGAAUGAAUGGCAAACAACUUUUUCCAUUCCUCAAUCAUAUUGCUGACAAAACCUAGGACAGAUUUGAAGUGUGGAACUGUGGACAAAAGCAACUGUCCUCAGGUUGCAUACUUUUGACGCCAACACUCUAAAAUGGGACACCAUAAACACAUGUUAAAGAGCUGGAGCCACCUUUUUUUUUAUUGUUUUGGGGGAUGGUGCGUUUACUUAGCUGGACCAUUUCAAAGACAAAGUAUCUUAGUCCUGUUUCUAGUGUCUUUCCU